rnacentral:rRNA from 1 species
CGCCUUGCCAGCCCGCUCAGAAACUCAAAUGAAUUGACGGGGGCCCGCACAAGCAGCGGAGCGUGUGGUUUUAAUUCGAUGCAACACGAAGAACCUUACCAAGGCUUGACAUACUGGAAGUAGGAACCUGAAAGGGGGACGACCUGUUGAGUCAGGAGCCAGCACAGGUGCUACAUGGCUGUCGUCAGCUCGUGCCGUGAGGUGUUGGGUUAAGUCCCGCAACGAGCGCAACCCUUGUUGCCAGUUAUCUUCUCUGGCGAGACUGCCCCGCAAAACGGGGAGGAAGGUAGGGAUGACGUCAAGUCAGCAUGGCCCUUAUGCCUUGGGCGACACACACGCUACAAUGGGUGGUACAGAAGGUUGCAACAGAGUGAUCUGGAGCCAAUCCCAAAAACCAUCCCCAGUUCGGAUUGCAGGCUGAAACCCGCCUGCAUGAAGCCGGAGUUGCUAGUAACCGCAGGUCAGCAUACUGCGGUGAAUACGUUCUCGGGCCUU